AUUGAACGCUGGCGGCAUGCCUUACACAUGCAAGUCGAACGGCAGCGCGGGCUUCGGCCUGGCGGCGAGUGGCGGACGGGUGAGUAAUGCAUCGGAACGUGCCCAGGAGUGGGGGAUAACGUAGCGAAAGUUACGCUAAUACCGCAUACGUACUGAGGUGGAAAGCGGGGGAUCGAAAGACCUCGCGCUCAUGGAGCGGCCGAUGUCGGAUUAGCUAGUUGGCGGGGUAAAAGCCCACCAAGGCGACGAUCCGUAGCUGGUCUGAGAGGACGACCAGCCACACUGGGACUGAGACACGGCGCAGACUCCUACGGGAGGCAGCAGUGGGGAAUCAUGGACAAUGGGGGAAACCCUAAUCCAGCAAUGCCGCGUGUGGGAUGAAGGCCCUCGGGUUGUAAACCACUUUUGGCAGGAAAGAAAUCGCCUGUGCUAAUACCACGGGCGGAUGACGGUACCUGCAGAAUAAGCACCGGCUAACUACGUGCCAGCAGCCGCAGUAA
rnacentral:rRNA from 1 species